rnacentral:ncRNA from 1 species
UUAAUAGGUGCUUAUCUUACGGGAUAAGAGAAUAGGAAAGUUGGAUGAAAACUCCACACGGUCCCGCCGCUGUAUUAGGAAAUGGAUGAUCAUUGAAGCCACUGGAAACGGGAAGGUAGAUCAUCGAAAUCGCCUUAAGUCAGAAGACCUGCCUAUUAAU